GGAGAGAUGUCCGAGCGGUUGAAGGAGGCGGUCUUGAAAACCGUUGCGCUGCAAGGCGCCGGGGGUUCGAAUCCCUCUCUCUCCG
rnacentral:tRNA from 1 species